GAUUAGCCAUGCAUGUCUAAGUAUAAGCAAUUAUACCGUGAAACUGCGAAUGGCUCAUUAAAUCAGUUAUCGUUUAUUUGAUAGUACCUUACUACUUGGAUAACCGUGGUAAUUCUAGAGCUAAUACAUGCUAAAAACCCCAACUUCGGGAGGGGUGUAUUUAUUAGAUAAAAAACCAAUGCCCUUCGGGGCUCCUUGGUGAUUCAUGAUAACUUCUCAGAUCGCAUGGCUUUGCGCCGGCGACGGUUCAUUCAAAUUUCUGCCCUAUCAACUUUCGAUGGUAAGGUAUUGGCUUACCAUGGUUUCAACGGGUAACGGGGAAUUAGGGUUCGAUUCCGGAGAGGGAGCCUGAGAAACGGCUACCACAUCCAAGGAAGGCAGCAGGCGCGCAAAUUACCCAAUUCCGAUACGGAGAGGUAGUGACAAUAAAUACUGAUACAGGGCUCUUUUGGGUCUUGUAAUUGGAAUGAGUACAAUUUAAACCUCUUAACGAGGAACAAUUGGAGGGCAAGUCUGUGCG
rnacentral:rRNA from 1 species